rnacentral:lncRNA from 1 species
GUACUUCCUGACCUCCACCAGGGAUCCCAAGCCUCAGUCCCUUGUUUCCAGGGCUUUCUCCCCACGUGGAGGAUGGGGGGAGGUGUGCUUAAUGGGAUGGACCAAACCUUUCUUGCUUUAGCCUCUGAUUCCUAAAAUCUGCUCCUAUAAACAGCUCUCGCCCAGCAGGCCCCUUGUGAUGUGUCAAGAGUAAACGAAUCUGAAACAGCAAAGGAGAUCGCCUUCCAAAUAGUCUUGACUUUAAGAAUUAAGGCAAAGAAAGCAUUUGCCGAAGGACGUUUCCAAUUUGGCCAAAUCCAGGGCUUUGGAAAAAUAUCUUAAGACAUUUCACCAAACCCAGAGCAAAGCCGGCAGGGCCCCACUCUGGCAUUUGGAGACAGUGCUGGCAGGCAGCAGGAAUGUGAGGGCCCCCGCUCCAGCCCGAGCCCUCAAGGACCCUGGCCCAGUCUCUUUGUGCUACAGAGGCAUCCACCAUAGUGCCCUGGGAUGGCGUGCUCACAGGACGACACGAGUCGACAUUCGCCCAAGCCAGGCAUGGCCAGGCUGGCAAAGGCCUGCCUAUCUGGGCCAGGUCUGUAGGGGAGAAGCAUCUACGGGAGAAGGCCAAGUACCACGUGGUAUCCAAGCUCUGACAGGCAGGGAGUCAGGACAGAUGGCAGGGGCACUGGGAGAGGGUAUGCGGGCACCUGGAGCUUCCGAGAAGAGCCUUAAUGAACAGGCAGGGCUGAGAGGAAGUGUGGCUUGGUGGAUGAGCAAUGCGGCUUUGGCAGCCGAUAGGGCUGGAUUCGAAGCCCCACCUUGCCACUCACAGCAGUGUGGUCUGGAACCGGUAGCGUAAACCUCUGAGCCUUUGCUCCCUUGUCUGGAGGGCAAGGACCACCACAGUGCCCAGCCAUAGGGCUCUCACGCUCCGAAAAUCAGCUCCUGUGUGUGAAGUUUUCUCUACGUGAGUGGAGUGGCUCUUUAGGCUCCUGCUUGGUGUGUGUUUGUUUGUCUGUUUGCUUUUUGAGACAGGGUCUCUCUCUAUCAUCCAGGCCAAGGCUGGAGUGCAGUGACGUGAUCAUGGCUCACUGCAGCCUCAACCUCCCAGGCUCAAGUGUUCCUCCCACCUCAGCCUCCCAAGUAGCUAGAACUACAGGCAGGCGCCACCACACCUGGCUAAUUUUUUUUACUUUUUAUAGAGAUGAGGUCUCACUAUGUUGCCCAGGCUGGUCUCAAAAUCCCAGCCUCAAGCCAUCCUCCUGCCUUAUCCUCCCAAAGCACGAGGAUUACAGUUGUUUCUGGACUUGCCACUCCCCUGAGCCUCAUUCCAUCCCACACGGGCCUGCCCAUCCAGUAGACCCCACUGCAGCUCCUCUGACAGUCAUGGCCAUCAGCUUCCAUGUUCACCCUUCACCCACAGCGCUGGAGGUCGCCUGUCGGGAACAGGCUCUCUGGAGCCCUCCACAAGAUCCGGUCAACAGUAUUUAUUGAUCAUUCUUGGGUGUUUCUCAGAGAAGUCACAAAUUCUUGCUAAUAUCAUUCAAUCAAUACCUGCUACUACUUGCCCCGGAGGGAGCAAUUUACAGUUGACCAUGUGAGAAGCUGCAUCUCCACCAACCUAAAAACAUCACCCCUUGAAUUCAGAGCUGCUGCAUUUCUACUUGAAGCUCAAGCUCAAGUUCUGUUUUCUCUGUUCAUCUGGAUCCACUCCAGCCACACUGGCCUCCUUGCUGCUUCUCAAAACACACCAGCCUCAUUCCUGUAUCUAGUUCUAUGUUUUUGUUUUGCCAUAGCACUUAAAACCUUUGGACAUAGUAUAUCAUUUACUUAUUCAUUAUGUUUCUUUUUAAUUUGUUUGUCUUCCCCUGCUAGAAAGUAAGCCAAAGACAGGAAUCUUUGUUCUGUUCAUUGAUAUAGCCAAGGUUCUAAAGUACUUCCUAGCAUAUAAUGGGUGCUCAAAAUGAAUGAUUUAAUUGAUUUAUUGAUCUUUCUCUGCAUGGGCAAUCACAUGUGUCUCUUGGGAAUCUGUUUUGGCUGCUUUGUCUUUGUCUUCUCAAGGCGCCCCCUAGAAAUCAUAGCCAAGUGAAUUCUGCAGAGACCACACAGCCUACAUAUCAAGCAGACCUUCCAAACUCAGUGGAAGUCUUUUCACAGUAUGGUUACAAACAGAAACCAUAGCAGCUUUAUUGAGAUAUAAUUCACUUACCUUAAAACUUACCCUUCUAGGGGCCGGGCACAGUGGCUCACGCCUGUAAUCCCAGCACU